CCUACGGGCGGCAGCAGUGAGGAAUAUUGGUCAAUGGACGAGAGUCUGAACCAGCCAAGUAGCGUGAAGGAUGACUGCCCUAUGGGUUGUAAACUUCUUUUAUAUGGGAAUAAAACGUUCCACGUGUGGGAUUUUGUAUGUACCAUAUGAAUAAGGACCGGCUAACUCCGUGCCAGCAGCCGCGGUAAUACGGAGGAUCCGAGCGUUAUCCGGAUUUAUUGGGUUUAAAGGGAGCGUAGGUGGAUUGUUAAGUCAGUUGUGAAAGUUUGCGGCUCAACCGUAAAAUUGCAGUUGAAACUGGCAGUCUUGAGUGCGGUAGAGGUAGGCGGAAUUCGUGGUGUAGCGGUGAAAUGCUUAGAUAUCACGAAGAACUCCGAUUGCGAAGGCAGUUCACUGGACUGCAACUGACACUGAGGCUCGAAAGUGUGGGUAUCAAACAGGAUUAGAUACCCCGGUAGUC
rnacentral:rRNA from 1 species